UCCUUGUUCUCCGGCUUGCUCCGCCACCACGAAGUUCUGUGGUACCACCAGCAAUUGUCCCCUCCUAAGCUCACCGUCGAACACUGCAUUCCCUUGGCAGUUCACAACUCUAACCUUUCCUUGUCCUCGAGUCACAUAGAUCACACUGUUUGCAUUCAGAUUCCAAUGUGGAGAGUAAAUUCCAUUCUGCAUGGAUAUAAUAACAUGUGUUACGUAUCAUCAUCAUUAUUAUUAUAUAUUAUAUAUUUACACCAAUAUUUUUAUUAUUUUUUUAUUAAAAGUAGUAGAACCAACAAGUAACUAUAAUUAUUAUCAAAUAAGUCUUCAUUGACAUGUUAAAGUAACUCAUAAAAAUCAAUGCACAAUUAUAAUACAUUACAGUUCAACUACCCCUAGAGAAUCACUAAAGAAUUACCCAUAUCAAAUGAUAUUUUAAUGACAUUUAAAGGAAUCCAACCCUACAACAUACUUACUGACAUUUUUAUAUGUCUUCUAAAUUAUUAUAUCAUAUGAUUUAUGACAUAAAGAUUUUUCCCUUUUGUGCUUUCUUUUUAUUUCUUAAUUUUCUCAAGAUAGACUAAUUGACAAUUGAAUAUCCACGGAAAAAUUACUGGUAGAUGUGUAAGUAUGUACGUAUAUUAGUUUCAUGUUGAUUACUUAGUAAUAUGAAUGAGGUGAAUUACAUACCUUGUAGAGGACAACAUAUUGGGCACUGAGUUGGAAUUGGCGGAGGGCUGGGAGGGUGAGGCUGUUGAGGGUACUAAUGCGACCAGCUUUAGGGUUGUAGAAGUCAGCGCGUGAAGGGCGAGCAAUGUUCUCGUGAAGCUUCAAGGUGCAGAUAUUUUCCUCAACCCCGUUUCUUGUCUCGCAUCCUCUUUCACGUGGUUCUUCUUGUCUAGGUCUUCUGGGUUGUGUCUUUUUCGAUCUCCAUUCGCGGCUCUUGCGAGGUUGAUCUUCAUCUUCAUCUUCGUCCUCGUCCUGGUCCUGGUCUUGUUCACGCUUUCCUUGGCUUGGUCGACUAGGACGAGGUUUAUCUUCAUCUUCGUCCUCGUCCUCGUCUUGUUCACGCUUUCCAUGGCUUGGUCGGCGAGGAGGGUGAGAGGGAAUUUGUUCAUCUUCAUCAUCUUCGUCUUCAUCUUCAUCUUCAUCUUGUUGUUCUUGCCACUUGGGGCUGAUAACGCUGAGACCUCCUUCCACUGUCACGAUCUGCUUCCUUUCGUCGUCUGGAGACUGAAGUUUCUCAGCUAUGUCCUCGUUGGUGUUGAAGGAUUGUGCCAAGAAGUGUUUGCUGAAGCCACUGAGCACGCUGCCACCUUCUUCCUCUUCCUCCUGCUGGUGUUGCCCCUGCUUGCGUCCACCAUGACUUUUCUGCUGUUGUUGUUGUUGCAUGGUCUCUGGGUACUCUAUAUCUGGGUUCCCAGCAAGGUAAAAUACCUGAAAGUGAAAAAAUUAACAAGUGAGGAGAACAUGGUUUUUGUUAAUAGUAAAUGAAAUUGAAUUGAUAAUUACCCUAGGGGUUUGAUCAAGCUGGUUAUUGAAGUUAGAGGUGUCAAGAAGACUGAUGGCAACAACUGGUUCAUCGCCAGUGUUAUAGGUCCAGUAAGGAACACCAGGAGGAAUCACGAGUACGUCUCCUUCAUUGAAGUGACGAAUCUUCUGGUGACUGUCCUGUAGCUGCUGCUUCUGCGACCUUGAGCCUCUUCUGUUUGAUUGUUCUUGUGGCUCCUCAAACGUCUCAGGACAUCCUGGAAUUGCAACUCCAAGUGCUCCUUUCCCUGUACAUCAAUCAUCACCAAACAAAACAAUCACAUUUUUAUUUAAUCAGAUAUCUUAGUUGAUAUAUAUAACUUAAUAAAACUUUUAAGGUGAUUGAUAUGUCAACAAAGUCAUUCUAUAUAUAAUAAUAAUAAUUUGUAGUUAAAUAAUCAUGUAAAAUUUACUAUAGAGAUACUAUUUACUUAAAUCAUUAUUAUCUUUAGUAAAUGAUCUAUGGUAAUGUGAUGUUGAAAUUUGAACAAGUGGUGACAAAUGGAUUAAUAUACACUGAGAAAUGCUGGUGAUACUCUUUCUGAUAUGUGUGUUAGAAGCACUCCUUAUAUAUGAUUACCUUGGGCGAUGAUGAUCAUCCGGGGAUAAGGUGAGUAAGAUGGCAAGUGGAGGCCAUUGCGGUUGAGGGUGAGUUUGGAAACAGUGACACCGGCGCAUUUCAGCUCAGGGUGUUGAGAGUUCCAUGUUUGAAUCAAACCACCUUCGGACUCAACGCGGUGGUCGGGUUCCAACGCGUUGAGGUUGUUGAGUUGGCACUCGUUGAGCUUGCUGGAGCUAAUAGCAAAGCAUGCACUCGACAAGAGUAGCAAGCAAAGGGAAGAAAGAGAGAGAGUGAAGGGCUUCCCCAUAUUGAACUAAGGAAGUGUUAAUAAUUAA
rnacentral:lncRNA from 1 species